UACGAAGGGGGCUAGCGUUGCUCGGAAUCACUGGGCGUAAAGCGCACGUAGGCGGCUUCUUAAGUCAGGGGUGAAAUCCUGGAGCUCAACUCCAGAACUGCCUUUGAUACUGAGAGGCUUGAGUCCGGGAGAGGUGAGUGGAACUGCGAGUGUAGAGGUGAAAUUCGUAGAUAUUCGCAAGAACACCAGUGGCGAAGGCGGCUCACUGGUCCGGUACUGACGCUGAGACGCGAAAGCGUGGGGAGCAAACAGG
rnacentral:rRNA from 1 species